rnacentral:rRNA from 1 species
GACGAACGCUGGCGGCGCGCUUAACACAUGCAAGUCGAGCGAAGCGGCGGACGGGCGAGUAACACGUGAGUAACCCGCCUUAGACAUUGGGAUAGCCUCGGGAAACCGGGAUUAAUACCAAAUGGUCUAAGGUGGACUCGGGUCCCAUUAGCCAGUUGGUGAGGUAACGGCCCACCAAGGCGACGAUGGGUAGCCGUGCAGAGAGAGUGAACGGCCACAUUGGAACUGAGAAACGGGCCAAACUCUACGGGAGGCAGCAGUGGGGAAUAUUGCACAAUGGAGGGAGCUCUGAUGCAGCGACGCGGCGUGGACAAAGAAGGCUUUCGAGUCGUAAAGUUCUUUUAUAUGGGAAGCGGUACCAUAAGAAAAAGCCCCGGCUAACUACGUGCCAGCAGCCGCGGUAAUAC